rnacentral:tRNA from 1 species
UCUAAUGUGGCAGAAAAAUGCGAUGAAACUUAAAAUUCAUUUAUAUAUAUAUAUAUAUUUCUUUAGAA